UUGAAACGGAGUCUCGUUCUGUCGCCCAGGCUGGAGUGCAGUGGCGCCAUCUCGGCUCACUGCAAGCUCAGCCUCCCGGGUUCACGCCAUUCUCCUGCCUCAGCCUCCUGAGUAGCUGGGACAACAGGCACCUGCCACCACCACGCCCGGCUAAUUUUUUUUGUAUUUUUAGUAGAGACGGGGUUUCACCGUGUUAGCCAGGAUGGUCUCGAUCUCCUGACCUCGUGAUCUGCCCGCCUCGGCCUCCCAAAGUGCUGGGAUUACAGGCGUGAGCCACUGCACCUGGCUAGAUAUGUCUUUAAUCCAUUUUGAUUUGAGUUUUGCAUAUCGUGAGAGAUAAGGGUCUAGUUUCGUUCUUCUACAUAAGUCCUUUUGUCUCAAUCUCCCAGUUUUUGGCGGGUUUGCAAGUCAUUUUCGCCUAUGUCAGCCAAGAUGGAAUACUCUAUUGGCGCAGUGACAUAAAUAUCUUACUUUUCAGUAAUACCAACAUGGGUCUCUAUAUGAUGUUCUUUAAACUUAAUUUGAAAGAGAAGGAUCAGCUGUGCAUGGUGGCACACACAUGCAGUCCCAGCUACUGAGGAAGAUGAUGAGGCAGGAGGACCGCCUGAGCCCAGAAGUUUAAGGCUGCAGUGAGCUAAGAUUAAGUAACAUUCCUAAAGACACAUACCAGGUCUUUAGCUCAGAGCUGAGUUAAAAUUUGACCAAAAUCUAUAUGACCUAUGUCUGGGUCUACGUUCUAAACCACUUUCUGUUAAUUGAACAGUAGAUGUUUUUCUUUGUGAUGGAUGCUAUACUUCAAUAUGCCUCAAAUGUUUUUGACAUAUUAAAUAAAAAAUAUAUAGUUUAUCAAUACAAUUAUAUUUUCAAAUGUAAUAAAGUUAGAUACAAAUCCUUGAAGAAAUGUUUAUGGCAACAAGAAAAACUAAAUAUCUAUUCCACAGUGCUUUUAUGGAAGAGGGCUCACUAUUCUGAUACACUGUGUUUGCCUUGAAAAUUAAACUUUAACAAAAAUUAUCAAUAAUGAAAUAUUCUUUAUUAUAUGGAUUAUAUUUAAUGUUAUACAAAAGAACCAGCUAAUUCUGUUUAGAAAUUAAAAACUAGAAGAAAAUCAAAAUAUUAUUUUGUAAUUCCACUUUGCUUAACCUGUUAAACUACCUACGACCUUAGGCAGUUUCUUGUGUAUUAUGUUAAUAAUAUGUAGGUGACAUUUUCUCUACUUUUGUUUAUUAGUUUCAACAUGUAUGAAAUAAAAUAAUCUGCCAUCAAAUGCU
rnacentral:lncRNA from 10 species